rnacentral:rRNA from 1 species
UACGUAGGGCGCGAGCGUUGUCCGGAAUUAUUGGGCGUAAAGCGCGCGCAGGCGGUUCUUUAAGUCUGAUGUGAAAGCCCACGGCUCAACCGUGGAGGGUCAUUGGAAACUGGAGAACUUGAGUACAGAAGAGGAAAGCGGAAUUCCACGUGUAGCGGUGAAAUGCGUAGAGAUGUGGAGGAACACCAGUGGCGAAGGCGGCUUUCUGGUCUGUAACUGACGCUGAGGCGCGAAAGCGUGGGGAGCAAACAGG